rnacentral:rRNA from 1 species
AUACGUAGGUGGCAAGCGUUGUCCGGAUUUACUGGGUGUAAAGGGCGUGUAGCCGGGCCUUUAAGUCAGAUGUGAAAUCCGCGGGCUUAACCCGCGAACUGCAUUUGAAACUGAGGGUCUUGAGUAUCGGAGAGGUAAUCGGAAUUCCUAGUGUAGCGGUGAAAUGCGUAGAUAUUAGGAAGAACACCAGUGGCGAAGGCGGAUUACUGGACGACAACUGACGGUGAGGCGCGAAAGCGUGGGGAGC